rnacentral:lncRNA from 1 species
CAGGAUGGUAUUGUUAUGAAUACUGUGUGCCAGGAUGGUAUUGUUAUAUCUAUUGUGUGCCAUUCUGGUAUUGUUAUAAAUAUUGUGUGGCAGGCUGGUAUUGUUAUAAAUACUGUGUUCCAGGCUGGUUUUGUUAUAUCUAUUGUGUGCCAGUCUGGUAUUGUUAUAAAUGCUGUGUGCCAGGAUAGCAUUGUUAUAAAUAUUGUGUGGCAGGCUGGUAUUGUUAUAAAUACUGUGUGCCAGGCUGGUUUUGUUAUAUCUAUUGUGUGCCAAG